rnacentral:rRNA from 1 species
UACGGGGGGAGCAAGCGUUGUUCGGAUUUACUGGGCGUAAAGGGCGCGUAGGCGGUCGUGACAAGUCACUUGUGAAAUCUCCGGGCUUAACUCGGAACGGUCAAGUGAUACUGUCGGACUAGAGUACAGAAGGGGCAACUGGAAUUCUCGGUGUAGCGGUGAAAUGCGUAGAUAUCGUAAGGAAGACCAGUGGCGAAGGCGGGUCUCUGGACAGUUCCUGACGGUGAGGCACGAAGGUCAGGGGGAGCAAACGGGG